AUUGAACGCUGGCGGCAUGCCUUACACAUGCAAGUCGGACGGCAGCACGGGGGCAACCCUGGUGGCGAGUGGCGAACGGGUGAGUAAAGCAUCGGAACGUACCUGGGAGUGGGGGAUAACGUAGCGAAAGUUACGCUAAUACCGCAUAUUCUGUGAGCAGGAAAGCGGGGGAUCGCAAGACCUCGCGCUUCUGGAGCGGCCGAUGUCGGAUUAGCUGGUUGGUGGGGUAAAGGCCUACCAAGGCGACGAUCCGUAGCGGGUCUGAGAGGAUGAUCCGCCACACUGGGACUGAGACACGGCCCAGACUCCUACGGGAGGCAGCAGUGGGGAAUUUUGGACAAUGGGCGCAAGCCUGAUCCAGCCAUGCCGCGUGAGUGAAGAAGGCCUUCGGGUUGUAAAGCUCUUUCGGUGGGGAAGAAAUCGCAUUCUUUAAUAGAGGGUGUGGAUGACGGUACCCGCACAAGAAGCACCGGCUAACUACGUGCCAGCAGCCGCCGUAAAAC
rnacentral:rRNA from 1 species